rnacentral:rRNA from 1 species
CUUCCUACGGGAGGCAGCAGUGGGGAAUAUUGGACAAUGGGCGAAAGCCUGAUCCAGCCAUGCCGCGUGUGUGAAGAAGGCCUUUUGGUUGUAAAGCACUUUAAGCGAGGAGGAGGCUACUGAGAUUAAUACUCUUGGAUAGUGGACGUUACUCGCAGAAUAAGCACCGGCUAACUCUGUGCCAGCAGCCGCGGUAAUACAGAGGGUGCGAGCGUUAAUCGGAUUUACUGGGCGUAAAGCGUGCGUAGGCGGCUUUUUAAGUCGGAUGUGAAAUCCCUGAGCUUAACUUAGGAAUUGCAUUCGAUACUGGGAAGCUAGAGUAUGGGAGAGGAUGGUAGAAUUCCAGGUGUAGCGGUGAAAUGCGUAGAGAUCUGGAGGAAUACCGAUGGCGAAGGCAGCCAUCUGGCCUAAUACUGACGCUGAGGUACGAAAGCAUGGGGAGCAAACAGGAUUAGAUACCCUGGUAGUCCAUGCCGUAAACGAUGUCUACUAGCCGUUGGGGCCUUUGAGGCUUUAGUGG